UGGGGAAUAUUGCACAAUGGGCGCAAGCCUGAUGCAGCAACGCCGCGUGAGGGACGACGGCCUUCGGGUUGUAAACCUCUUUUAGUAGGGAAGAAGCGAAAGUGACGGUACCUGCAGAAAAAGCACCGGCUAACUACGUGCCAGCAGCCGCGGUAAUACGUAGGGUGCAAGCGUUGUCCGGAAUUAUUGGGCGUAAAGAGCUCGUAGGCGGUUUGUCGCGUCUGCUGUGAAAAACCCGAGGCUCAACCUCGGGCCUGCAGUGGGUACGGGCAGACUAGAGUGCGGUAGGGGAGAAUGGAAUUCCUGGUGUAGCGGUGGAAUGCGCAGAUAUCAGGAGGAACACCGAUGGCGAAGGCAGUUCUCUGGGCCGUAACUGACGCUGAGGAGCGAAAAGCGUGGGGAGCGAACAGGAUUAGAUACCCUGGUAGUCCACGCCGUAAAACGUUGGGCGCUAGAUGUGGGGACCAUUCCACGGUUUCCGUGUCGCAGCUAACGCAUUAAGCGCCCCGCCUGGGGAGUACGGCCGC
rnacentral:rRNA from 1 species